rnacentral:rRNA from 1 species
GCGGAGGGAUCAUUACACAAAUAUGAAGGCGGGCUGGAACCUCUCGGGGUUACAGCCUUGCUGAAUUAUUCACCCUUGUCUUUUGCGUACUUCUUGUUUCCUUGGUGGGUUCGCCCACCACUAGGACAAACAUAAACCUUUUGUAAUUGCAAUCAGCGUCAGUAACAAAUUAAUAAUUACAACUUUCAACAACGGAUCUCUUGGUUCUGGCAUCGAUGAAGAACGCAGCGAAAUGCGAUAAGUAGUGUGAAUUGCAGAAUUCAGUGAAUCAUCGAAUCUUUGAACGCACAUUGCGCCCUUUGGUAUUCCAAAGGGCAUGCCUGUUCGAGCGUCAUUUGUACCCUCAAGCUUUGCUUGGUGUUGGGCGUCUUGUCUCUAGCUUUGCUGGAGACUCGCCUUAAAGUAAUUGGCAGCCGGCCUACUGGUUUCGGAGCGCAGCACAAGUCGCACUCUCUAUCAGCAAAGGUCUAGCAUCCAUUAAGCCUUUUUUUUCAACUUUUGACCUCGGAUCAGGUAGGGAUACCCGCUGAACUUA